AGCAGUGUGGUGUAGCGGUUAGCAUGUUGGGACUAGUACAUUGGAGACCAGGGUUCAAAUCCCCACUCAGCCA